rnacentral:sRNA from 1 species
GUUUUGCGUGAGCGAUAGUAGUGAAAAUCCUUUUUUGCUGUAGCAAAGCGGAAGUAGAAAAGAUUGCAACGGAUAGCGCGGUUUUUU